rnacentral:rRNA from 1 species
UGGGGAAUAUUGGACAAUGGGGGGAACCCUGAUCCAGCAAUGCCGCGUGUGUGAAGAAGGCCUGAGGGUUGUAAAGCACUUUAAGUUGGGAGGAAGGGCAGUUACCUAAUACGUAUCUGUUUUGACGUUACCGACAGAAUAAGCACCGGCUAACUCUGUGCCAGCAGCCGCGGUAAUACAGAGGGUGCAAGCGUUAAUCGGAAUUACUGGGCGUAAAGCGCGCGUAGGUGGUUUGUUAAGUUGGAUGUGAAAUCCCCGGGCUCAACCUGGGAACUGCAUUCAAAACUGACAAGCUAGAGUAUGGUAGAGGGUGGUGGAAUUUCCUGUGUAGCGGUGAAAUGCGUAGAUAUAGGAAGGAACACCAGUGGCGAAGGCGACCACCUGGACUGAUACUGACACUGAGGUGCGAAAGCGUGGGGAGCAAACAGGAUUAGAUACCCCCGUAGUCCCUGAGCGGGCUGGCAAGGCGCAU